UGAGGGAGCACGCCGCGUGAGUGAUGAAGGUUUUCGGAUCGUAAGCUCUGUUGUUAGGGAAGAACAAGUACCGUUCGAAUAGGGCGGUACCUUGACGGUACCUAACCAGAAAGCCACGGCUAACUACGUGCCAGCAGCCGCGGUAAUACGUAGGUGGCAAGCGUUGUCCGGAAUUAUUGGGCGUAAAGGGCUCGCAGGCGGUUUCUUAAGUCUGAUGUGAAAGCCCCCGGCUCAACCGGGGAGGGUCAUUGGAAACUGGGGAACUUGAGUGCAGAAGAGGAGAGUGGAAUUCCACGUGUAGCGGUGAAAUGCGUAGAGAUGUGGAGGAACACCAGUGGCGAAGGCGACUCUCUGGUCUGUAACUGACGCUGAGGAGCGAAAGCGUGGGGAGCGAACAGGAUUAGAUACCCUGGUAGUCCACGCCGUAACGAUGAGUGCUAAGUGUUAGGGGGUUUCCGCCCCUUAGUGCUGCAGCUAACGCAUUAAGCACUCCGCCUGGGGGAGUACGGUCGCAAGGACUGAAACUCAAAGGAAUUGACGGGGGCCCGCACAAGCGGUGGAGCAUGUGGUUUAAUUCGGAAGCAACGCGAAGAACCUUACCAGGUCUUGACAUCCUCUGACAAUCCUAGAGAUAGGACGUCCCCUUCGGGGGCAGAGUGACAGGUGGUGCAUGGUUGUCGUCAGCUCGUGUCGUGAGAUGUUGGGUUAAGUCCCGCAACGAGCGCAACCCUUGAUCUUAGUUGCCAGCAUUCAGUUGGGCACUCUAAGGUGACUGCCGGUGACAAACCGGAGGAAGGUGGGGAUGACGUCAAAUCAUCAUGCCCCUUAUGACCUGGGCUACACACGUGCUACAAUGGACAGAACAAAGGGCAGCGAAACCGCGAGGUUAAGCCAAUCCCACAAAUCUGUUCUCAGUUCGGAUCGCAGUCUGCAACUCGACUGCGUGAAGCUGGAAUCGCUAGUAAUCGCGGAUCAGCAUGCCGCGGUGAAUACGUUCCCGGGCCUUGUACACACCGCCCGUCACACCACGAGAGUUUGUAACACCCGAAGUCGGUGAGGUAACCUUUUA
rnacentral:rRNA from 1 species